rnacentral:rRNA from 1 species
GACGAACGCUGGCGGCGUGCUUAACACAUGCAAGUCGAACGGAAGGGCCCUGCUUUUGUGGGGUGCUCGAGUGGCGAACGGGUGAGUAACACGUGAGUAACCUGCCCUUGACUUUGGGAUAACUUCAGGGAACUGGGGCUAAUACCGGAUAGGAGCUCCUGCUGCAUGGUGGGGGUUGGAAAGUUUCGGCGGUUGUGGAUGGACUCGCGGCUUAUCAGCUUGUUGGUGGGGUAGUGGCGUACCAAGGUUUUGACGGGUAGCCGGCCUGAGAGGGUGACCGGCCACAGUGGGACUGAGAUACGGCCCAGACGCCUACGGGAGGCAGCAGUGGGGAAUAUUGCACAAUGGGCGGAAGCCUGAUGCAGCAACGCCGCGUGCGGGAUGACGGCCUUCGGGUUGUAAACCGCUUUCGCCUGUGACGAAGCGUGAGUGACGGUAAUGGGUAAAGAAGCACCGGCUAACUACGUG